rnacentral:rRNA from 1 species
GCAAGCGUUGUUCGGAAUUACUGGGCGUAAAGGGCGCGUAGGCGGUUUGCUAAGUUGGAUGUGAAAACUCUGGGCUUAACCCAGAGCCUGCAUCCAAAACUGGCAAACUUGAGUACUGGAGGGGAAAGCGGAAUUCCUGGUGUAGCGGUGAAAUGCGUAGAUAUCAGGAGGAACACCGGUGGCGAAGGCGGCUUUCUGGACAGUAACUGACGCUGAGGCGCGAAAGCUAGGGGAGCAAACAGG